rnacentral:ncRNA from 1 species
GAUAACUGGCUUGUGGCAGCCAAGCGUUCAUAGCGACAUUGCUUUGUGAUCCUUCGAUGUCGGCUCUUUCAAUCCUUGAUUCAGCAGGAAUCCAAGGUCGCGUUGUUGAUGCUCUGUUCAUUAGGCUAUCAGAGGCACGGAU